UACGUAGGGUGCAAGCGUUAAUCGGAAUUACUGGGCGUAAAGCGUGCGCAGGCGGUCUUGUAAGUCUGAUGUGAAAUCCCCGGGCUCAACCUGGGAAUUGCAUUGGAGACUGCAAGGCUAGAAUCUGGCAGAGGGGGGUAGAAUUCCACGUGUAGCAGUGAAAUGCGUAGAGAUGCGGAGGAACACCGAUGGCGAAGGCAGCCCCCUGGGCCAACACUGACGCUCAGGCACGAAAGCGUGGGGAGCAAACAGG
rnacentral:rRNA from 1 species